rnacentral:rRNA from 1 species
UACGUAGGGAGCAAGCGUUGUCCGGAAUCAUUGGGCGUAAAGCGCGCGUAGGCGGCCCCGUAAGUCCGCUGUGAAAGUCAAAGGCUCAACCUUUGAAAGCCGGUGGAUACUGUGGGGCUAGAGUCCGGAAGAGGCGAGUGGAAUUCCUGGUGUAGCGGUGGAAUGCGCAGAUAUCAGGAGGAACACCAGUGGCGAAGGCGACUCUUUGGCCUGUAACUGACGCUGAGGCGCGAAAGCGUGGGGAGCAAACAGG